AACCUACUACAGCACAAGGGUGUACUCCCAGUGACUUGCCCAGUGACAGGAGGUAAGAAAGGGGUCCUCAAACGGACUCAUCAUCUGGUCCAUACCUCUGCCUCCACCUAGAAGUUCACCCCAGCCCAACACACCCAGUGAGGCUCAGGCACCUAGAAACUUGUCCAGGAGCUCAAAAGCUAGCAUGCCCGGUUCCUUUAAUUUCCCUAAAUCUUGAGAUUUUUCUCUAAGCCAGGAACCAGAGGUGCUGCAGGCUCACCAGAGGCCAGGACCCAGGCCACCGCUGGGUAGGGACGGGGAACAGGCUCUGGAGGUGGGAGCUGCGGAGGUUCUGGUCUCUGAGCACAGAGGGGACUGGGCACAGAGCGCCGGCCCAAGGUCAGCGGCGCAGCAUCGCGCGCACUCACCGGAUUCGGAGGGCAGGGCCAUGGGGGCCGGCUGCCGGGCUGGAGCGCAGGUGCCGCGCCGGGCAGGGCGCACAGGGCAGCGGCAGCAGCGCACUGACGCCUGCGCGGCCCGGUACGUGGAGCUGGACCCGACCAGGCCGCGCUUGCAGCCCGUGCCCGCCCCGCAGGAGCCCGCGACUGGUGGGGACCAGGCUGAGCGCUGUGCGGCAGGGCCCGGUGGCGGGGCAGAGAGCCUGUGCAGCGGGAUCGCGCACUACCUGGAGGACCCGAAGCUACCCGAGGCGCUGGGCCGCGCUGCCAGCAGGAAACCUAAGCACCCGGGCGCGGCAGCCUCCCUGUCCUCGGCCGGAAGCGAGUCCGGCUCCACCCGGGCUCCGUGGGGCCGCGACACUGUCCCGGGUCAGAUGCCAGCAGGGAUACCCGCUCUGAGCCUCCCUACCACCAAUCUAGCUGCUGCGCCUCGAGGUGUUUGCCCACCUCCUCCUCCCCUCCCAACCAGGACUUUCCCCAAAAAACGAGAUUCUAGAGGCAUGGUUCCCUCCACGACACUUACUCUUGGUAGCUAAACCGACCAGCAAGCGUUGGUUUUCUCCAGGUGUUGGACCGGUCCCUUGAAUCACCUUCCCGCCCCUCCCAACACACACGGGCGCGCGCGUGUACACACACACACACACACACACACACACACACACACACACACACACACACACACACACACACACUUCCUUGCUUCCCAGCCUUCUGCGGUCUAGUUUCUAUGCCAGCCCCUCAAAGUCCGGAAUGACCUCUGAGUUGCCAAGGCCAGCGGGAGCUUUCUGUGCACCCUUGCUCACCUCUUCCCAGCACUGCAGCCUGCUGACCACGCCUUCCUUCCUGGAACACAGCUCCCAAAGUUAGCACUGGGUGUCUGCCGCCGCUGGCUUCCACAGACUUCCACAGAGUGACCGGUUUCUUAGCCUCCAUGGCCUGGUUUUCCAUUAUGCUGCUCCUGCUCCGAGGAGUCUCGGGAUGCCAGCUCCCUGGAUCAUUUCUGGAGCUAACUCAGAGAAUCCAGGCCCAUCCAGGUGGUUUUAAUGGCCUCCUGCCUGCUGAUAAGCUAGUAAACUCUUAGGCCCAGAAUACUCUAGAGCGGCAGGUGCAUCUCAACCAGAGAUUCCUAGGCCCAACUCCUAAUUGCCUGCUGGUGGUUUUAGUCUUGACCAGUGACCUCACCCAAGCACCCCCACUUUAAGCCACACUGGGGAGCCACCUUUUGACUUGUGCCUCUUUCACAGAGUUACUGCUACUGUGAGUUUUCAUUCACUUCACAGCUGUCUCAUUUAAGCACCAAAUUUUAUUCUUUCUACUUCAUAGCCUGAUGCUUGCAAUCUACAUAUUUAUCAAUGAUACUCACAUGACUGCUAAUAUACAUUACAUAGCACACUUAAAAUGUUAAAGAUGUGAUAAAAAUGAAGCAAUAAUUUAAAAAUACGACAGGAUCUCACUAUGCAGCCCUGGCUCACCUGGAUUUUGCUAUAUGGACCCUCCUUCUGCCUCCAGACUGCUGGGAUUAAAGGCACAUACCAUCAACCCAGAAAAUUAUUUUCCUUUUAAUGAAUAGUAUGCUGCAUCUUUUUCUUCUUGCUUUAAAGUUGCCCAUGAUCGGCUUGGUGAAAGAACCGUGAUUAAACUAGUUUGCUAGGCCAGGCUUGGUGGUCCAUGCCUUUGAUCCCAGCACUCAAGCAGCAUACAGCUAUCUUUGAGUUUGAGACCGGCCUGGUCUACAAAGCAAGUCCAGGACAGCCAGGGCUCUGUUAUACAAAGAAACCCUGUCUAACAGAAAAACAAACAAACAGAAACAGAAACAAAAAGCUAGCUAGUUUGCUGAACCUUAAUUUUUUUUAGAUUUAUUUAUGUGCAUGAACCUUUUGUUCCCAUAUAUGUCUGUGCAUACCUGUGUAUUUGGUGCAUGAGGAAGUCAAAAGAGGGCAUUGUCUCCCCUAGAACUGGAGUUAUGAGUGUUAUACGUCACCGAGUAGAUUCUGGGAAUGGAACUUGGAUCUUCUGCAAGAACAAGUACUCUUGACUGCUGAGCCAUCUCUCCAGGACUCUGGCUGUUGUUAUUUGUUUCCUAAGAAGAUAGAUACCCAAAGAUAAACAGAACUCUGUCUCUGCACUUAUUAAAUUAUAAUUCUGCUCAAAUAGCACCUCCCAAUUCUGUAAAUGUGAAGGGUCACAGGAAAAUGAUUUUGUCUGAAAUCAAUGUUCUCAACAUCCCUGGUCUAGACUGUCACCUGAAGCCAUGUUGACAUCUGAGAGCUGUGCAGAGCUG